AGUUACCAGCACGUAUGUGGGCACUCUAAGGAGACUGCCGGUGCAAACCGGAGGAAGGUGGGGAUGACGUCAAGUCAUCAUGGCCCUUACGGCCUGGGCUACACACGUGCUACAAUGGUCGGUACAAAGGGUUGCCAAGCCGCGAGGUGGAGCUAAUCCCAUAAAACCGAUCGUAGUCCGGAUCGCAGUCUGCAACUCGACUGCGUGAAGUCGGAAUCGCUAGUAAUCGUGAGUCAGAAUGUCACGGUGAAUACGUUCCCGGGCCUU
rnacentral:rRNA from 1 species